ensembl:lncRNA
GCGGCCUCCCCUCGGGCCUGUCCCCGGCCCCAUUGCCUCCCCUCGGGCCCUGUCACCUUCCCUCGGGCCCUGUCACCUCCCCUCGGGCCUGUCACCUCCUCUCAGGCCUGUCCCCGGCCCCAUCGCCUCCCCUCCGGCCUUGUCACCUUCCCUUGGGCCCUGUCACCUCCCCUCAGGUCCUGUCACCUCCCCUCGGGCCUGUCCCCGGCCCCAUCGCCUCCCCUCAGGCCCUGUCACCUUCCCUUGGGCCCUGUCACCUCCCCUCGGGCCUGUUACCUCCCCUCAGGCCUGUCACCUCCCCUCGGGCCUGUCCCUGGCCCCAUCGCCUCCCCUCAGGCCCUGUCACCUUCCCUCAGGCCCUGUUACCUCCCCUCAGGCCUGUCACCGGCCCCAUCACCUCCCCUCGGGCCUGUCCCCAGCCCCAUGUCCCAGCCCCAUCGCCCGGCAGGGCAGUGGUGCCGCCCUUUCCCUGCGGUCCCCCUCGGUCCCCUUCCCACCCCUGGCCGAGGUCCCUUCCUCACGGAACCGUCCUGGCGGAUAUGGAGACGGGCCCUUGUCUGCAAACACCUGGCUUUUAUGCAAAUCAUUUUGCAAUAAGGGCAGAUUUGCCCCAACAAGCGUGCUCAUUAGGUAAAUUCAUUCAUCUCCUUCCUGGUUUCCUUUAACGACAGCCUUUACUCUCGAUUUUGUUAUCUGCUGGCUGCUGCGCGUCGGCCUGACUGACUCGGGAUUGCGAAGUGGAGCAAGAGACACGGAGAGGAUACAAAGGCUCCUCUGCCUAGAGAAAGUGACUGAAACAGCUGCCCUACAAUUCCUCCUCCUCUACAGCUUCUUGUGAGAAAGGCUCAUAUGGCUUCUCAGUUCCAAAGACCUCCGCAUGAUACAGCCACUUCUGCGGAGAAGCUGGCUUUUAACUUUCGGCCAGCCCUGAUGGACAUGGCUCACGGGGAACGUACGCCGGCAGUCCACCUGCAAACACCCCACGGCGGAGAUGGCCUCAAGCGCUCCGACGCAGGUGCCCCCAGGGACCCUGCCCCACGCUCCUCCCGGGAGAGUUCAGCCAAGCGAGCUGUCCUGUUGCACACCCCCGGGUGAGCUCGCCUUUUAUGAAGGUCAGAGCAGUGUCUCAGGGCUCACCCUGACUUCAGAGUCGGUCCUGGGCUCGUGCUAUUUGCGGAUGAGUACUGCAGCCCCGCAUCAGGCAAGCCCAGGAGAAACCAUGCUUCCACAAGAGACGUGGCCCUGGAGCCAUGUCCUAGAAGUGUCCACGGUGCCAGCAGGCUGCUCGUCAGCCGACCUGUCUCAGCAUGCAAAGCGUGCAUCUCCCUGCGAGCCACGCUCCUCUCUGCCCCUCGCAUCCCACAUCGCCACUCUCCUGUGCUGCAGGAGAUGUUCCUGGUGUUCUGACAUUUUAUAUUUAUGUGUUAAACUCUACUCCUGUUUUUUCCACCUCUUCUUUCUUCUGCCUCCCUCAGCAGCUAGCGGUUAAAAGUUUGUCCAUUUGUUGAUCUUUUCCUGCAUUUUGUGGAAAAUUCCCUUUGUACAUUACUAGCUCUUUUAUUGACAAAACUAUGUUUUCAAGAAAAAUAAAAGACCUCUUACUUUUGCCA